AUUGAACGCUGGCGGCAUGCCUUACACAUGCAAGUCGAACGGUAACAGGUCUUCGGAUGCUGACGAGUGGCGAACGGGUGAGUAAUGCAUCGGAACGUGCCCAGUUGUGGGGGAUAACUGCUCGAAAGAGCAGCUAAUACCGCAUACGACCUGAGGGUGAAAGCGGGGGAUCGCAAGACCUCGCGCAAGUGGAGCGGCCGAUGUCAGAUUAGGUAGUUGGUGGGGUAAAGGCCUACCAAGCCGACGAUCUGUAGUUGGUCUGAGAGGACGACCAGCCACACUGGGACUGAGACACGGCCCAGACUCCUACGGGAGGCAGCAGUGGGGAAUUUUGGACAAUGGGCGCAAGCCUGAUCCAGCAAUGCCGCGUGCAGGAAGAAGGCCUUCGGGUUGUAAACUGCUUUUGUCAGGGAAGAAAUCCUCUGGGUUAAUACCCCGGGGGGAUGACGGUACCUUGAUAAGAAGCACCGGCUAACUACGUGCCAGCCGCCGCCGUAA
rnacentral:rRNA from 1 species